UACGUAGGGGGCAAGCGUUGUCCGGAAUCAUUGGGCGUAAAGCGCGUGUAGGCGGCUUGGUAAGUCUGCUCUGAAAGCCCGGGGCUCAACCCCGGGAGGCGGGUGGAUACUGUCAAGCUCGAGUCCGGAAGAGGAGUGUGGAAUUCCUGGUGUAGCGGUGAAAUGCGUAGAUAUCGGAAGGAACAUCAGUGGCGAAAGCGACUUCCUGGACCAGUACCGACGUUCAGGCACGAAAGCGUGGGGAGCAAACAGG
rnacentral:rRNA from 1 species